rnacentral:lncRNA from 1 species
CAGCAGCGCAGAGGGGCCAGGCUCAGCGAACACCACAGAGCCUGGCCCGAACAACUUCAACCAGCAAAUUUGUUGAAAAUUACUCUUCACUCCAGUCCACAUGUUUCCAAACCAGCACGAGAUCACCGCUGACGAUGAGACCAUCUUGUCUUUGUUCUUCAAACCGCCCUUCAUCCUGAUAAGUUGACCUUCCUCCAGCGUUAUUUCAGGGAAGUGUUUGUUCAGCAUACCAAGCCAAGUGUUACUGGUCUAUGAACAUAUCAUCUCUGCACUUUGGAGAAGACAACUGAAGUUUUUUUUAAUUCACAUAAACUCCCCCACAAACUC